rnacentral:rRNA from 1 species
GUGGGGAAUAUUGGACAAUGGGCGAAAGCCUGAUCCAGCCAUGCCGCGUGUGUGAAGAAGGUCUUCGGAUUGUAAAGCACUUUAAGUUGGGAGGAAGGGCAGUAAGUUAAUACCUUGCUGUUUUGACGUUACCGACAGAAUAAGCACCGGCUAACUUCGUGCCAGCAGCCGCGGUAAUACGAAGGGUGCAAGCGUUAAUCGGAAUUACUGGGCGUAAAGCGCGCGUAGGUGGUUUUGUAAGUUGGAGGUGAAAACCCCGGGCUCAACCUGGGAACUGCCUCCAAAACUGCAUGACUAGAGUACGGUAGAGGGUAGUGGAAUUUCCUGUGUAGCGGUGAAAUGCGUAGAUAUAGGAAGGAACACCAGUGGCGAAGGCGACUACCUGGACUGAUACUGACACUGAGGUGCGAAAGCGUGGGGAGCAAACAGGAUUAGAUACCCGAGUAGUCC